CUAGUAAGAUAAACAAGAUAAAAUUAACAAUAUUUCCCGUCUCUUUCCAUUGUCGAAAUUGUACCAACAUUCAACUUAGUAUUGAUAUGAGUUGCACACUGCCCCAAUGGUUCUUAAUCUCACAAACAAUGUUUACUCAACAUAACUAAUAAGGUCUUUGUUUAGUUGAAAGAUAUUUUACUUAAUAAUAGGCAAUUAUGGAAAAAUGAUGUUCGACAUUAUUGUUCUUUUCAGAUAAAUGUUGUGUUGAGGGAUUUUUCUGUGUUGUGUAUUCCAGAACAGUGUAUUUUGGGGAGUAAGUUAGUGAGGUAAGAGAUUCAGUAUCCAUUUAUCCAAUCUGCAUUUAUGAAACAAUUAGGGAGAACGGAAAUUUCAGAAGAAGUAAAUAUAAGAUUAUGACUAGGAUGGCGAAAUGCUGAAAUGAUAAACUGGAUCUUUGAGAAAAAGAGAAGUGUCCGACAGACGUAAACAUGGCAAUGAAAGACUGGUUUCGGAAGAUACAACCCGUUCAACUGUACGUGGUCCUACUGUUGACCAUAGCCUUCUUCGUGAUCGAACUAAUUGUUAGUCACAUCACCCAUGCUCUCACACUUUUGAUGGACUCUUACCACAUGCUCUGCAAUAUCAUGGCAUUGGCUGGAUGUCUCAUCACCCUCAAGGUAUGCG